rnacentral:tRNA from 1 species
ACCUGGCUGGCUCAGUCAGAAAAGCAUGAGACUCUUGAUCUUGGGGUUGUGAGUUCGAGCCCCACACUGGGUG